ensembl:lncRNA
GCGCUGAGAAAAUGAAUAUUGCUUGGUAGGCGCUGAGAAAAUGAAUAUUGCUUGGUAGGCGCUGAGAAAAUGAAUAUUGCUUGGUAGGUGCUGAGAAAAUGAAUAUUGCUUGGUAGGUGCUGAGAAAAUGAAUAUUGCUUGGUAGGUGCUGAGAAAAUGAAUAUUGCUUGGUAGGUGCUGAGAAGUUGGGUGAGAGAAAGAGAGAGUGAGUCAAAGACCUGGAGGGGCUGUGCAGUGAGUCAAUGGAAAAAGACACUGUAGAACAUUACAUUGAGUGACAUAGGGACAAUCAUUACAACAGAAUAGCAUUUCAUUCUAAAUCAAAACACAUUUGGUUUCUUUUCAUUGUGUUUUGAAUGGAUUACAUUAAUUGGUAACGCUUUAUUAGACUAAUAUAACAUUUCGGUUGCUGAAACAAAAACCUGAAAUUCGCUUUAACAGAGGGGGUCUACAAAUAGGAAAAGGUGCUGAACUUAGCAGUUAGUUUUAGUGUAUCUCUGCUAUUACUGUGCAGUUUCCGUGUGUCUUCAUUCUGUGUUGUCUCUUUAUUUAAUCCCAGUAACCAUUCCCUACAGCAGAACUUUUGCCUCUGGCCAUGCUAUAAUUAUAAAUAAACUUUACAAUUAUAAAGUACCUAAUAAAACACAUACACAGAAUGUAUUUACUAUAUAAUAAAGCUGACAUUUUUGUAAAGUUUUGUAAAGUUUUGUAAGCCGACAUUAAUGCAGCUGGUAUGGUGGUAAGAAACGUUCAACGAGAGCCGUCGGGUGGUAUGUUGUCUUGAUGCGCGGAGGGUGUGCCUCAGCCCACGGUUUGUGACGUCCCUGGUCAGUUCAUUAACAUUGCUGUGGUCUACAUUAUACUCCCAAGAAGGCUUUGUAAAAUGUAAUGGUGUUUUGGUUGUAAGAUAUAGCAAUAAAGAUUAAAUAAACAAAAUAAAUGUUUGCAUGUCUUUAUCAGGAUGCCCGGCCGACUCAAGUCAUUAUUAGUUUACACAGGAAAACGUGUGGCGAUUUAUGCAUUUAUCACAUGACUAUUAAAUAAGUUGGCAAUGGUAAAUCACUCUACAGUUGUUUAGUUUAAAAAAUGGCAACAAACAGUUUUUAAAAUGCCUUGUGAUUUGGAAUGAAACAGGGCAGAUGAUACACAUUUUGGGGCUGCAAAGUGGCCCAUUGGUUAGGAAAUCUGACCAGUGGACUAUGUUGUUCUGACCCAGAGGAAGUUGACUACAAUACUCCUGUAACAGCCCCCUGUGACCUCAAUACUCCUGUAACAGCCCCCUGUGACUACAAUACUCCUGUAACUGCCCCCUGUGACUACAAUACUCCUGUAACAGCCCCCUGUGACUACAAUACUCCUGUAACAGCCCCCUGUGACUACAAUACUCCUGUAACAGCCCCCUGUGACUACAAUACUCCUGUAAUAGCCCCCUGUGACUACAAUACUCCUGUAACAGCCCCCUGUGACUACAAUACUCCUGCAACUGCCCCCUGUGACUACAAUACUCCUGUAAUAGCCCCGUGUGACAACAGUACUCCUGUAAUAGCCCCGUGACUACAAUACUCCUGUAACUGCCCCCUCUGACUACAAUACUCCUGUAACUGCCCCCUCUGAUUACAAUACUUGUUUUAUGUAUUAUUAUAAUACAAAUCUGCAAC